rnacentral:tRNA from 8 species
CGUUCGGUAGCUCAUUCGGGUAGAGCAGCCGGCGCAAGCCGGUGUGUAGCGGGUUCGAAUCCCGCUCGAACAC